UCUUUGUCACCGUAUUGAGGUUGUGGUUUAAUUUUUUUUAAAUCGCAUUAAAAGGGAAUCAGGUGAUAGAUUUCAAGUUUUGGCUUUCAGAUUUUAGGGUUUAAAUCCUAAAUCAAAAAUCCUAAAUCUUAAAUCAAAAAUCCUGAGCUGUACCCGCAACUGUAAGCUAUUAAGCUUGUUGUUAUCUAUAAAACCAUUGUUCGUCGUGGCGAAUGAGAAGGUCAACAACAAGACGCAAGCCAGGAGACCUGCCUUUUUUUAUUAACAAAU
rnacentral:ncRNA from 1 species